rnacentral:rRNA from 1 species
UAGGGAAUCUUCCACAAUGGACGCAAGUCUGAUGGAGCAACGCCGCGUGAGUGAAGAAGGGUUUCGGCUCGUAAAGCUCUGUUGUUAAAGAAGAACGUGGGUAGAGUAACUGUUUACCCAGUGACGGUAUUUAACCAGAAAGCCACGGCUAACUACGUGCCAG